GAUGAACGCUGGCGGCGUGCCUAAUACAUGCAAGUCGAGCGAACAGACGAGGAGCUUGCUCCUCUGACGUUAGCGGCGGACGGGUGAGUAACACGUGGAUAACCUACCUAUAAGACUGGGAUAACUUCGGGAAACCGGAGCUAAUACCGGAUAACAUGUUGAACCGCAUGGUUCAACAGUGAAAGACGGUCUUGCUGUCACUUAUAGAUGGAUCCGCGCCGCAUUAGCUAGUUGGUAAGGUAACGGCUUACCAAGGCAACGAUGAGUAGCCGACCUGAGAGGGUGAUCGGCCACACUGGAACUGAGACACGGUCCAGACUCCUACGGGAGGCAGCAGUAGGGAAACUACCGCAAUGGGCGAAAGCCUGACGGAGCAACGCCGCGUGAGUGAUGAAGUUCUUCGGAUCGUAAAACUCUGUUAUUAGGGAAGAACAAAUGUGUAAGUAACUAUGCACGUCUUGACGGUACCUAAUCAGAAAGCCACGGCUAACUACGUG
rnacentral:rRNA from 1 species